rnacentral:rRNA from 1 species
UACGUAGGGGGCGAGCGUUGUCCGGAAUUAUUGGGCGUAAAGAGCGUGUAGGCGGUUCGGUAAGUCUGCCGUGAAAACCUGGGGCUCAACCCCGGGCGUGCGGUGGAUACUGCCGGGCUAGAGGGUGGUAGAGGCGAGUGGAAUUCCUGGUGUAGCGGUGAAAUGCGCAGAUAUCAGGAGGAACACCAAUUGCGAAGGCAGCUCGCUGGGACGUUACUGACGCUGAGACGCGAAAGCGUGGGGAGCAAACAGG